GGUGAAGUCUUCCUUUUUGUUCGGGCCAGUGUGAGGUUCUCCUCCCGUUCCCGGCUUGGCUGUGGGGGUGCGUUAGGGCGCUGUAAGGCCUCUCCCCCCAUCCGGUCUAAAAGAACCGGGCCUUCGACUUUGCUCAUGUCAGGAUGAGGUUCUCCUCCUGUUCCUGACAUGGCUGUGGGGGCACAUUAAGGCGUUGUAAGGCCUCUCCCCCCAUCCGGUCUAAAAGAACUGGGCCUUUGACUUUGCUCAUGUCAGGAUGAGAUUCUCCUCCUGUUCCUGACAUGGC
rnacentral:lncRNA from 1 species